rnacentral:lncRNA from 1 species
GGCGGAUCCUAUUCCAGGGGUUGGAACCCCCAUUUUUUUUGCCGAUCAAUGCAUUUGAAUGGGGACAUAUAGUUGGAACAUCCUCCCACCUAUGUCCUGGGUUGGGACCCCCCCCCCCCUUUUCAAAAUGGCUGGAUCCGCCCCUGCUUCUUGUAUAUAUUAACUUUAUGUUUUACAUUGUGUACUUGAUAUUCCCGAUUUAGUAUACACAUUUAUGAUAUAAUUGGUUUACAGCUUUUAAAAAAGUAUUUCUUGACGAUCCCUGCCAAUUUAAGUGUUUGAAUUUUAUUUGAAAAAUACUGAGCACGCAAAAUAAGCAUUUGAAAAUCACGAU